rnacentral:rRNA from 1 species
AUUGAACGCUGGCGGCAGGCCUAACACAUGCAAGUCGAGCGGAUGAAGGGAGCUCGCUCCUGGAUUCAGCGGCGGACGGGUGAGUAAUGCCUAGGAAUCUGCCUGGUAGUGGGGGAUAACGUCCGGAAACGGGCGCUAAUACCGCAUACGUCCUGAGGUAGAAAGUGGGGGAUCUUCGGACCUCACGCUAUCAGAUGAGCCUAGGUCGGAUUAGCUAGUUGGUGGGGUAAAGGCCUACCAAGGCGACGAUCCGUAACUGGUCUGAGAGGAUGAUCUGUCACACUGGAACUGAGACACGGUCCAGACUCCUACGGGAGGCAGCAGUGGGGAAUAUUGGACAAUGGGCGAAAGCCGGAUCCAGCCAUGCCGCGUGUGUGAAGAAGGUCUUCGGAUUGUAAAGCACUUUAAGUUGGGAGGAAGGGCAGUAAGUUAAUAACUGGCUGUUUUGACGUUACCAACAGAAUAAGCACCGGCUAACUUCGUG